GAGAGGGGACGUGGAAGAAGGGUGGAACACCAGUCGGAGGAAAAACAGAUGAGCAGAGAGAGACAUUAAUACAACGGAUCAGUGCAGUGUGGCUGGUGAGGAAGGAAAGAGUAAAAAUCGAAUGAGAGAAAUUUACUGGAAACAAACUGGAUGAACAAUAUGACUUCCACAUGUGCUUUUCAUUGCACGGCAGAAGAGAUGAACCAGCAUGCUUUGAGGAGUGGAAAGGAAUGUUUUGCCUAGUUUGGAAAGCUGGUGAAGUUAAAGGUGCUUGUCCUUGGUGAUGUGCCUGACUUCCAAUCAGAACAUGGCAGAGCUGCUUCAACCUCAGCUGGGAGUCUGGUUAAUUUUUAUUGAACAUCUCCUACCCACAGUACUCCUGAAAAACUGGACAGGACUUCUACUCCCAUUUCAUAGCUACAUUUUUUAAACACGGCUUUAGUAAGCACCAUAGCUAAAUUCAGUGAGGAUGCCUGCGGACAAAGGAGACAGUGGAGUUUUCUGUGACAUCUGCAUAUCCACAAUAAGGAACGAUACAGGACACUGUGCCUGACCCUUUUUCAAAUACAUCAGCCCUUUUUAUCUGUCUGAGAGGAAAGGAGGCUGAUGCGUCGUCUGACUUCUCUCCGUGCUACUCAUCAGGCUGACUGUAAGGUGAAUCUGGAAGAACAGAGGGAUGUAUAUCUUCCAAAGGCAAAAUAGAAGAACUGCACAGUGCUA